rnacentral:rRNA from 1 species
AUACGGAGGAUGCAAGCGUUAUCCGGAUUUAUUGGGUUUAAAGGGUGCGUAGGCGGAUGAUUAAGCGUGAGGUGAAAUGCCACUGCUCAACAGUGGAACUGCCUCGCGAACUGGUUGUCUUGAAUGCUCCUGCCGUGGGAGGAAUGUGUGGUGUAGCGGUGAAAUGCAUAGAGAUCACACAGAACACCGAUUGCGAAGGCAUCUCACGAAGGGGUGAUUGACGCUGAGGCACGAAAGCGUGGGGAUCAAACAGGAUUAGAUACCCUGGUAGUCCACGCAGUAAACGAUGAUAACUAGCUGUUUGCGAUACAAUGUAAGCGGCUGAGCGAAAGCGUUAAGUAAUCCACCUGGGGAGUACGUUCGCAAGAAUGAAACUCAAAGGAAUUGACGGGG